rnacentral:misc_RNA from 1 species
GAUGAAGAACGUAGCGAAAUGCGAUAAGUAAUGUGAAUUGCAGAAUUCAGUGAAUCAUCGAAUCUUUGAACGCACAUUGCGCCCGCCAGUAUUCUGGCGGGCAUGCCUGUCUGAGCGUCAUUUCAACCCUCAUGCCCCUAGGGCGUGGUGUUGGGGAUCGGCCAAAGCCCGCGAGGGACGGCCGGCCCCUAAAUCUAGUGGCGGACCCGUCGUGGCCUCCUCUGCGAAGUAGUGAUAUUCCGCAUCGGAGAGCGAUGAGCCCCUGCCGUUAAACCCCCAACUUUCCAAGGUUGACCUCAGAUCAGGUAGGAAUACCCGCUGAACUUAAGCAUAACAAUAAGCGGAGGA